rnacentral:rRNA from 1 species
GACGUAGGGCGCGAGCGUUGUCCGGAUUUAUUGGGCGUAAAGAGCUCGUAGGCGGCUUGUCGCGUCGUCUGUGAAAUCCCGCGGCUCAACCGCGGGUCUGCAGUCGAUACGGGCAGGCUAGAGUUCGGUAGGGGAGACUGGAAUUCCUGGUGUAGCGGUGAAAUGCGCAGAUAUCAGGAAGAACACCCGUGGCUAAGGCGGCUCUCUAGUACGGUACUGACGCUGAGACGCGAAAGCGUGGGGAGCGAACCGG